UUAGCCAAAUCUUCAAACUCCGACAGGUAUUCCGGAACAGAACCCCUCUGAGUUAAUUUAAACAAGGCACCGGUGGGGUUUUAAUAUUGGGACGGGGCAAACUUGGUUCGCAGAGCUUGCAAAAAUGAAGCCAUGAGGUGAAUUGGGCAUUGCUAGUCAUGUACUGGAACCAAACAAGAGCCCUUCCCUCCAUGUAAAAUGAAGCAAUUAUAAGUCGUUCAUGGUCCGUGGUGCCAUGGUAUUCGAAGUACUGGUUGAUCUUGAAGAUCCAACCAAGAGGUUCGGUGCCGUCGAAAUGAGGCACUUCUAACUUCAUUUUGUGUGUUGUUGCUGGAACAAAAGGUGGAUGGUGGUGGUGGUGGUGGUGGAGUGGAGGAUUGGCAGUGGAAGGGAAGGUGACAAGGGUAACUCAAUGAAGUAAUUCAUCCAU
rnacentral:lncRNA from 1 species